CAGUAGGGAAUCUUCGGCAAUGGACGAAAGUCUGACCGAGCAACGCCGCGUGAGUGAAGAAGGUUUUCGGAUCGUAAAACUCUGUUGGUAAAGAAGAACGUUGGUGAGAGUGGAAAGCUCAUCAAGUGACGGUAACUACCCAGAAAGGGACGGCUAACUACGUGCCUG
rnacentral:rRNA from 1 species